UCUUAUGGAUUAGCAGAGAAAGUGGUUUCUUCAGAUAGAAUCUACUACUGGUGAAUAUGCUGCAAA
rnacentral:pre_miRNA from 2 species